rnacentral:sRNA from 1 species
CCCAAAUUAAUGACAGCAGAUGCUGAAGUCUGAGAUGGUCAGAUGUUAGGAAGGGGAUUGGCUGUGACCACCUGGGACCUGCCCACCUGGCUCAUGAGGCUGCGGCCCACGGUUGCCAGCUCCUCAGAUUUUUCCAGAGCAGCCGGAACCUGCAUUGUUUUGUAAAAUCUUCAGAAUUCAGGUUUUCUGAAAACCCUAUGAUGGUCCCACCAGUCCCGGUGUGGGCUGAAUCUGCUUCCUGAGCUGGGUCCUGCUGACUGGGUCGGAGGAGCUAAGAGCUGGCAUCCCCGGCUUUCUCGCCUUUGUUCUGCUGGGAUGUGGUAGGGAGAUCAGCUGUGCAGCUUUGAUGCCUGGCUCUGGUACCAGGAUGGGUGGGAGCCCCCAACCCUCGCUCCUGGGUGCAGAGCGUGGUUGUAUCUGGGGCCGGGGCCUCUGACCCCCUUGUCCCUGCUGCAGAUUGAGAUGGCCAUCCUGUGGUUCCCUUACGAGUCCUGGGGGACCCCGUUCCAGCAGCUGAAGCAGGUGGUGGAGGAGCCAUCCCCCCAGCUCCCAGCCGACCGUUUCUCCCCCGAGUUUGUGGACUUCACUGCUCAGUGCCUGAGGAAGAACCCCGCAGAGCGUAUGAGCUACCUGGAGCUGAUGGAGCACCCCUUCUUCACCUUGCACAAAACCAAGAAGACGGACAUUGCUGCCUUCGUGAAGGAGAUCCUGGGAGAAGACUCAUAGGGGCUGGGCCUCGGACCCCACUCCGGCCCUCCAGAGCCCCACAUCCCCAUCUAGGGGGGCAGUGCUCACCCACACCAUAAGCUACUGCCAUCCUGGCCCAGGGGGCAUGCUCUGGGUGAGGCAGGAAACUGGAGGGGGCGCCUUGCUCCCACC